GAAAUGCGAUAAGUAAUGUGAAUUGCAGAAUUCAGUGAAUCAUCGAAUCUUUGAACGCACAUUGCGCCCGCCAGUAUUCUGGCGGGCAUGCCUGUCCGAGCGUCAUUUCAACCAUCAAGCCCCCGGGCUUGUGUUGGGGACCUGCGGCUGCCCGCAGGCCCUGAAAACCAGUGGCGGGCUCGCUGUCACACCGAGCGUAGUAGCAAUCACCUCGCUCAGGGCGUGCUGCGGGUUCCGGCCGUUAAACAGCCUUACAAAACCCAAGGUUGACCUCGGGUCAGGUAGGAAGACCCGCUGAACUUAAGC
rnacentral:misc_RNA from 1 species